CCCGAAAAAAGAUGAGCUAUUUUAAUUCUAUCAAGAAUUGCUUUUUUUUGUAACAGAAAAAAAACUAGAAAUUAAAAUAGAGGUGAUAUGCCUUCGCAUCUUUAGAUAUCUGGUUACUUUCAAAGGUUAAUACCAAUUUAUAUAAAUUAAUUACUCUUGGGACAAGCUAAGAGUAGGAGAGAUUUAUUUUUUUUAAAAAAAUUAUUUAUUUAGGCUUAAUAAUAGCAAUAAAAAGAAUCUGUAAUAAGGAAAAUUUUUUUUUAAAAAUUAUACCUCUAUAAUCUUAAAUAGAAAGUGAUUUGAGAAAACCCCUCUCCCCGUCAAAAUGAUAGUAUUAGUAUUUAUACAUGUAAUUUAUUUAUCUUUUUCUUUCCUUUUUUAAGGGAACUCGGCAAAAGGAGCAACGACUGUUUAACAAAAACAUGGCCUCCCGAACUUAUUAGAGGUAAUGCCUGCCCGGUGUAAUUUAUAAACGGCCGCAUAUGUGCUAAGGUAGCAUAAUAAUUUGUCUUUUCAUUGAAGACUAGUAUGAAUGGCGCAACGAGGCUCAGCUGUCCCUAAAGAAAUUUUAUAAAAAUUGAUAAAAAAGUGAAAAAUCUUUUUUUUUUAUGGAGGACGAGAAGACCCUAUAGAGUUUUAGUAUUUUUUCUUAAUUAUAAGAAUUCUACUUUUAUUGGGGCAAUAUAAGAACAUAAAAAAUCUUUUUUUAUUUAACCUCAAAGAGAAAAAAAGAAACUACCUUAGGGAUAACAGCGUAAUCCUACCAGAGAGGACUAAUCGAAGGUAGGGUUUGCGACCUCGAUGUUGGACUAAGGUUCCUUAUAUGUGUAGAAGCAUAAAAAGUAAGCCUGUUCGGCUUUUAAAACCUUACAUGAUCUGAGUUCAGGUCGGCGCAAGCUAGUCCGGUUUCUAUCCUCAUAAAAAUAUAACUAUAUCUUCAUAUUACGAAAGGAACUAAAGAU
rnacentral:rRNA from 1 species